GCAGGCGAGAAACCUUCGCAAUGCGCGCAAGCGCGACGAGGGGAACUCGAGUGCCAUUGUCAUUUUUGAUGAUGGCUUUUCUUGAUCCUAAAAAGAUCAGGGAAUAAAAGCUGGGUAAGACGGGUGCCAGCCGCCGCGGUAAUACCCGCAGCUCAAGUGGUGGCCACUAUUAUUGAGCCUAAAGCGUCCGUAGCCGGUCUUGUAAAUCUCUGGGUAAAUCCUGCCGCUUAACGGUGGGAAUGCUGGAGAGACUGCAAGACUGGGGAUCGGGUGAAGUGAGAGGUACUCCUGGGGUAGGGGUAAAAUCCUGUAAUCCUGGGGGGACGACCGGUGGCGAAGGCGUCUCACUAGAACGACUCCGACGGUGAGGGACGAAGGCUAGGGGAGCAAACCGGAUUAGAUACCCCCGUAGUCC
rnacentral:rRNA from 1 species